GUCCUUGCAGCGAGGGUUUGAAUCUUGCGUCCCCCGGCUCGGAGAACUGAAAGGGCAUUUAAACUUUAUGCAGUGAAGCGACAACGUCUUCACUGAAAUACUUCGUCUGUCACGACUGUCACUGGGAAUCCACAGGAGGUGAACUGAAUAAGAUUAGACUAUUUACCCCAUCAACUCUCCAUCAAAGAAGGAUUCAAAACUGCACCUGAGGAUGAUCUAAACCAAGAGCCUAUUUCUAACAAAAGACUCGUAUAAACGUUAAAGAAAAAGAAUCCCAG